UAGUUGCUUAUAUUAGUGUCUGCCUUUCUCUCCCCUUCCCCCAACUCUCUCACUCUCAGCCUCACUCUCUCUCUCUCUCUCUCUCUCUCUCUCUCUCUCUCUCUCUCUCUCUCUCUCUCUCUCUCUCUCUCUGAGUUUCCUAAGGUUAUCCAACUUAGCUGCAAGAAACCUCACUAGUGGUUUGUGUCCACCGCAGUGCCCUGGCGAGGCGUCUGUGCCUGACUGGUGGUGGUAGCUGCUGUGUGUGCCCCCUGCUCCUCAGCCCCUCCUCCACCCUGCCGGCACAAUCAAGGGAGUGUUAAAAUAAAAACAUACAGGCAAAAAAUAAAAGGGAUCAGAUCUUACAAGGAAAAAAUGAUCCAAAAUAGAGUUAUAACUGACCUUCUUAACAGGUUGUGGUGAUCUUUGCUUGGGUGCCUCCUUCCCUCCUAAAAUGCUCUCUAUCAUGGUGUCCGCACUUACACCGGUCUGUGGGAGAGAAAGAGAGAGAGAGUGAGAGGGCAGAAUGAAAGAGAGAGAGUGUGAUAGAGAGAGAAAGGAAGUGAAAAAUGAUAAAGAGAGAAUGGGAUAUUUUUGUGAUAGAUAGUAUUGAGGUGUUAUCAGCAGAGAGAGAGAGAGAGAGAGAGAGAGAGAGAGAGAGAGAGAGAGAGAGAGAGAGAGAGAGAGAGAGAGAGA